AAAUAAACAAGUAACAAGCCAUAAAAAGUGCGUGCUGUGCUGUUACGGAAUCCGCCAUCCACUCAGCUUGGUGUCGUCUCACUGGAAGUGCUACGACGCUGAUUUUCAGUGGAUCCGGCAACAGAGAACACAUGUAGGAUGAACUGUCGACGAGCCUUAGAUGACAAGACGAUACGAUCUGUCAUUGAUUCGUCAAUGGCUUGCACCACAACCUGAACAGCAGCGACCGUAUGUGCCAAGCUUGCUGGGACUUGGCUGGAAGACCACAUGUUGAUGCAACAAUUUGACAACAAUUUGACCACGGUUACUACAAAUACUUAUCUCCGCUGUGGGCGCUCUCUUGUGUCACAAGUCAGUCACAACCACACACAAGUCUUCUUCACACGGACUCAUCUAGUGAAUUGAGAAUUUAUAAUGUUAUAAAAGAAUGGAUUAUGCCUCAAACUGUUUGUUGCAGGUAAAGGUAGCAAGUCGCAUAAUGUCAUGUGAUGCUGACAGAGCUGCUGUCCAUAUGGUUUUAGGUCCAUUCAAAGGCACAAGACCUUCCCACUGAGCCUCCAAAUAAUAAAGUAUGAAACAACCAACCUAAACCUUCUAUUGUAAUACGAGACUUAAUGGGAUUAAAUAUUAUAUCCUUGGAGUAAUCGUCUUUAUGAUUGACAUUUGAUUAUUAAAGCAUGGAUCUAGACACGUACAAAAUUCCACAGCAAAGCUUACCGAGGACAUGAUGUUGCUAUAAGAUGUUCUAGAUCUAGGAUUACUGCAUCUUGAGAGAAUAGAUUAUAUGGAAGACCUAGGCGUAUAUACCUACAUGGAUUGGCUAGAAUAGUCUCAUUAACUGCGCAAUGAAGAUCAGCUAUUGGAAAUAAUAUUGUGGAAAACGGUGAACAUUUUGAACACUUGCUCCGUACCACCAAAGCCGGUUUGUCUACCAGCCGAUAAUGCCCGAGUAUUUAUUUUUACCCGUUACGUAUGCACAGCUGUCUGGGCGUCUCACUGCCCGGCCACCAAGGGAAAUCACGAUGAAACUUGCUAGAAAAUCUCCUCUAAACAUGCAUCACGGCGCCCAGCAAGCCCGUAUCGGUAGCCACAAGAACCCGAUUCGCUAUAUUUGGAAUUCAGUCGGUGGAAUCUAGAGAAAUUGCUCGCCCCAAAUAAACUUUUCAAGUAUCAAUACAAAGUACACGAUAAAAGUGCUGUCGCCUUGCGGCGGCGGCGGCAGGAGGAAGGUUUCGUGUGCGUCAAUCCUUAUCUAAAUGAAAUUGUAAUUUACAGUCCUACAAAGUUACAUUUGCGCUUGAGCGUUAGUAACCAACGAUAAGAAGCAUCUAUGGGCCCGGAAAUGGUGCUAUGAAAUAUUAAAGUACAUUCUGUUAGAUUACAAGCGUUGUUAUAUUAAAACGUUUAUCACUUGUUAUGGAAGUCCUAUGUUGGCGAAUUUAUUUAAAUCGCAUUUCAAACCACAUUAUAUUCAGUAGUUUUCAAACUUUAAAGCUCCUCAUGUCAUGUAAUUUUACUACUCUCUACUUACG